AGGCCUUUCACCCACGUUACCUUCUACCGAAUUCAAGAAUGAGUUAAGCCCAGGAAAGACGCUCUUUUGGAGAGAAGGAGAAGGCGUGGGGGUUGGUUGGGGGCGAAGAUAGAAUUUCAACAAACUUUGGGCGCGAAAACGGAAUUGGCUCCAAUCUCUCCCAUUCGCCCGCAGUCCCGCCAUGGCUGGCAAGGGUUUUGGAACAAGAGCAACUCGGGGGCGCGCACGCACUCUUGAGAAGGUUGAAAUUCCAUUCCUGACUCGUGCAUGAUCGAUCGAUCGAUCGAUCGCUCGAAUCGCUCCGCAGGUUGAGAUUCCAUGGAGGAUCGGGGCUUGGAGGAGGUGGAGAAACCUCGGUUGUGCUCUCGAGUUUGGCUUCGACGAGCAGUCCGCCAGCAAGUGCUUGGACCGUCUCCUUUCCCUCUACGGGUGACGAAGGUUGAGAGUUUAUCACUGUGGACCACUGUGGCGAUGAUUUUCUAGCAGAACUUGCUGAAACUAUGCAAGACAUUGAGGAUUGGGAUGAUUUGCAAGUUGCGGAAUCAGAAGCUUGUGGAGUUUUGACUGAUAUGUUUGGCCAAGAUACCCCUAAUGACGGCGAAUGCAAUGUUGUGACGAUGUUAAUAUUAUAUAGGAUUCUCCACAACCUAAAAAAAAAAAAAAAAUCAAACAUUUCUUGAGGUGGAUUCCUCUGCUGAAAGUGAAGACGAAGAUGAUAUAUUAUAUUUGGCAGUACCCUGAGCAAUUCGUCCACUCAACUUUUGGCCAGACGAUCUUUAGAAUCCAUCGUAUGCUUCUGAAAACUGUGAAGUUGUCUCACUUCUUUCUGCCCCCAACAGUUUGAAGGGAUUAAGAAAAAGAAAGAAAAGCAUGGUGGCUUGGCAUGUUUUUUCCCAUGCUCAAAACUAAUUUGGUUGAUAGUUGUUAAGUUUGUGGCUUAAGUUUUUGAUUCAUGGACCUGGAUUUGAUUAGUCCUUCUCAGAGAACUCUUGGGAAACGCUUUCCACUCGUCUCAUUCGUUUUUGACUGACUCUUGCAAUUGGGAUUUUGGUUAGUGAGAAAUUGAUUUUUUUCUUAUUGUAAUUCUCUCUGGGUCACUGUUAAACUACUCCGGUUGAUGUAGAUGAAACUGCCCGUCCCCUUAAAUUAGUGUGUCACUGUUCUUUGCUCUUAAAAUUAUGUGUUUCCUUGAUCAUUUCCAGUUUGCUUGCAAUUCUGCUCAGCAAAAAACCUUACGCAGUGUACCUGUAUAAAAGCAUUUAGCAAAUUGCUUAUGAGGGCUUUCAUCUGAUCAAAUGCAUACUAGACACUCCUAACUUGCCAGUUACUUCCACAGUCUGUAAGAUCUAAAAUGACUUAUAUAAGUACUGUUUGGUCAGUAAAAACGGUUCAUUCUUGUUUUGGAUAUAAAACAAUAGCUAUAUUUCUCAAAUAAUUUGAAAGUGUGGUACAUCAGUGUUGAACUUAGCAUCCAGCGUCUUUGAUAGGUGUGUUUUGCAAAAUGGAUGCUCGGGAUUUCUUGGUGCACAAUUUUCAUUUUCCAUCACCACGUGUCAGAAACUAUUUAUGGUGCUGAAGAGGCUUAUUUGUGUUGAAGCACUGUAAGAGCACUGUCACUCAUGGUUUGAUAUCAUCAGUUUCAAAUAAAAGACAUCGCUCUCAGAUUUCGACAUGCAAACAACGAAGUCUGAGUUAUGAGGAAUUGCAAGCCUUGGAUGACAUAGAAUUGGCAAAUGUUGUAAUAUUCGGAAACAAGGCAUUUCGACCAAUGUAGCAUCAGGCUUGCAAAGCUUCUGUAGCCAAGCAGGAUUGCUUCAUUCUCAUGCCCACUGGAGGUGGUAAAAGUUUAUGUUACCAGGAUCAAAUAAUUACUCGAACCCUCAAGUACGGAAUACCAUCAACUUUCUUGAACUCUCAGCAAACCACUGCCCAGGCAGCAGCUGUCCUCCAAGAACUAAGGCAAGGAAAGAUAAACCAUCGCGCAAGCUGUUGUAUGUGACUCCUGAAAUGAUUGUGGGAAACUCAUCAUUUCUUGAGAUAUUGAAAGGCUUGCAUAGAAAGGGACUAUUUCUGAUACAUUGUAACUUUUUCUGAAAGUUUCUUUUGGACUUUUUGAUAUGCGGCCAUCACGCAUUGCAGGCACAACUAACUGGUUUUGUUGUUGAUGAGGCACAUGGUGUGAGUCAAUGGGGACAUGAUUUUCGUCCAGAUUAUAGGGGACUAGGAUGUCUCAAGCAAAACUUUCCAUAAGUCCCAGUGAUUGCCUUAACUGCAACUGCCACUCAGCCAGUUUGUGAGGAUAUCCUAAAAGCUCUCAGGAUCCCCCAUGAUCUUGUUCUCUAGACAAGCUUUGACAGACCAAACCUAAAAUAUGAGGUGAUAUUUAAGACCAUGGAACCACUGAAGCAGCUUGAAGAGC